rnacentral:rRNA from 1 species
CCUACGGGCGGCAGCAGUGAGGAAUAUUGGUCAAUGGGCGCGAGCCUGAACCAGCCAAGUAGCGUGAAGGAUGACUGCCCUACGGGUUGUAAACUUCUUUUAUAAAGGAAUAAAGUGAUGCACGUGUGCGGUUUUGUAUGUACUUUAUGAAUAAGGAUCGGCUAACUCCGUGCCAGCAGCCGCGGUAAUACGGAGGAUCCGAGCGUUAUCCGGAUUUAUUGGGUUUAAAGGGAGCGUAGAUGGGUUGUUAAGUCAGUUGUGAAAGUUUGCGGCUCAACCGUAAAAUUGCAAUUGAUACUGGCAGCCUUGAGUACAGUUGAGGUAGGCGGAAUUCGUGGUGUAGCGGUGAAAUGCUUAGAUAUCACGAAGAACUCCGAUUGCGAAGGCAGCCUACUAAACUGCCACUGACACUGAUGCUCGAAAGUGUGGGUAUCAAACAGGAUUAGAUACCCCUGUAGUC